rnacentral:tRNA from 1 species
UAUCCAGAGAUGGUAAUCGAACCAACAGUGUUCCGCUUACCGGGCAGAUGCCAUGUCCACUAGGCUACCCAUUAGGU